rnacentral:rRNA from 1 species
UACAGAGGGGGCAAGCGUUGUUCGGAAUUACUGGGCGUAAAGCGCGUGUAGGCGGUUAUGUAAGUCUGCUGUGAAAGUCGGAGGCUCAACCUUCGAAAGCCGGUGGAUACUGCGUGACUAGAGUACGGAAGAGGAGAGUGGAAUUCCUGGUGUAGCGGUGAAAUGCGCAGAUAUCAGGAGGAACACCAACGGCGAAGGCAGCUCUCUGGGACGUUACUGACGCUGAGACGCGAAAGCGUGGGGAGCAAACAGG